rnacentral:rRNA from 1 species
GACGAACGCUGGCGGCGUGCUUAACACAUGCGAGUCGAACGGAAAGGCCCUGCUUUUGUGGGGUGCUCGAGUGGCGAACGGGUGAGUAACACGUGAGUAACCUGCCCUUGACUUUGGGAUAACUUCAGGAAACUGGGGCUAAUACCGGAUAGGAGCUCCUGCUGCAUGGUGGGGGUUGGAAAGUUUCGGCGGUUGGGGAUGGACUCGCGGCUUAUCAGCUUGUUGGUGGGGUAGUGGCUUACCAAGGCUUUGACGGGUAGCCGGCCUGAGAGGGUGACCGGCCACAUUGGGACUGAGAUACGGCCCAGACUCAUACGGGAGGCAGCAGUGGGGAAUAUUGAACAAUGGGCGGAAGCCUGAUGCAGCAACGCCGCGUGCGGGAUGACGGCCUUCGGGUUGUAAACCGCUUUCGCCUGUGACGAAGCGUGAGUGACGGUAAUGGGUAAAGAAGCACCGGCUAACUACGUG